UCUCUGGUAGUAUAUCGGAUAGUACACCCGCCUGUCAAGUUCUCCACUCGGAAAAAGCCAAAACGCGGGAGAGCGGGGUUCGACUCCCCGCCAGAGAG